CAUUUUUCUGCAUCACUUUGAGACGGGAAGUUCCUGAUUUUUGCCCAACACAGUGUAUUAUUCACAUGUAAUUCAACAAAAGUAAGACCUCUCGUAUCUCAUACCCAUCCCACUUAAAAUAAAGGCAACAGAACAUCUGACCUUAGAAUGGUUUGCAAACAAGCUUAUUUACAAUUUCAGCAACUUUGGUCAGAGAUGCUGUACCAGCUUCAUUUGACAAGAACUACCACCUUCUAGCCCUGAAAAACCACGGCGGCCUAGUAAUUCCAUCACAAGGCACAAGGUGCUGAGAGCUGCAGAGAGGGUGAUCCAACAACACAAGCUCCUGAGGCGUCGACAGUCACACACAUCGUCCGAGAGGAGAUUGGAGCGGAUGAUGUUUUUUUGCUUGGGGAACACAUGAAGAGACACAGUUUGGCAUCGACAACCAUCAUUCAGACUUGUUGUCAUUGGUUGUGUCUGUGUUUCUCAAGCUAAGGCUGCGCCACAUUGCCAAACUCACCACUCUGGAACUGCAAAAAGGAGCACGAGAAAGAAGCUCUGCAGGACAGUCCUAUUCCAGGGGUUUUAGUGUGUGUGUGUGUGUGUGUGUGUGUGUUAGACCCUCCUUUGGUGCAAACACCCGGCGUUCUGUUGAAGUUAUUUGUGUGCGUGUGUGUGUCCUUGCAAAUAUUCAAUUCAUUUCAUUCAACAUAUUAAAUGUCUGACUUUACUACUAC